GGUCAAGAAACUAAGGGCGCAAGGCGGAUGCCUUGGCACCAGGAGGCGAAGAAGGACGUGACAAGCAACGAAAACCUCGAAUAGGAGCAAAUAUCCAGUAACUCGGGGGAAUCCGAAUGGGGAAACCUACUAGACACACUCUAGUAUCCAUACGUAAACACAUAGCGUAUGGAGGCGAAUGUUCUGAACUGAAACAUCUAAGUAGGAACAAGAAAAGAAAGAAAACUCGAUUCUCCAAGUAGCGGCGAGCGAACAGAGAACAGCCCAUUAAAGUAAGACUAAACUGAUAGACAAAUCUUAUGGAAAGAAGAACCAAAGAAAGUAACAGUCUUGUAGUCGAAAUCAGAAUAGAGACACUUUAAGAAGAGUACCACGGAGCACGUGAAAUUCUGUGGGAAGAUAGGGGGACCACCCCCUAAGGCUAAAUACUACCUGGUGACCGAUAGCGAAUAGUACCGUGAGGGAAAGGUGAAAAGAACCCCGGGAGGGGAGUGAAACAGAACCUGAAACCUUGCGCCUACAAGCAGACAGAGGAAGAAGACUUCUAAUGUCGUACUUUUUGUAGAACGGGCCAGCGAGUUACGAUACGUAGCAAGAUUAAACAUUUAAGAUGUGAAGUCGCAGGGAAACCGAGUCUUAAUAGGGCAGAAGUUAUGUGUUGUAGACCCGAAACCGGGUGAUCUAUCCAUGGGCAGAGUGAAGGUAAAGUAAAAUUUACUGGAGGCUCGAACCGGGUAGCGUUUAAAAGCUAUCGGAUGACCUGUGGAUAGGGGUGAAAAGCCAAUCGAACUCGGAUAUAGCUGGUUCUCCUCGAAAUAGCUUUAGGGCUAGCCUUGUUUUAGAUUACAGGAGGUAGAGCACUGAAUAGUCUAGGGGAAGUAAUUCUACCGAAACUUAUCAAACUCCGAAUGCCUGAAAAUCGAUGAACAGGAGUCAGACCAUGAGGGAUAAGCUUCAUAGUCAAAAGGGAAACAGCCCAGACCACCAGUUAAGGUCCCAAAAUACAGAUUAAGUGGGAAAGGAUGUAAUACUACUCAGACAACCAGGAUGUUGGCUCAGAAGCAGCCAUACAUUUAAAGAGUGCGUAAUAGCUCACUGGUCAAGUGGUAAUGCGCCGAAGAUGAACGGGGCUAAAUCUGAUACCGAAACUGUGGGAUAGAAAAGCAAUUAUGCGAGAAGUAUGAAGUUAAGAUUAGGAAAUAUAUCAACUAGUAAAGUAAGAGAGAAAAGACACAAACUAAAACUAUUAAACGAUACAAUUUCUAAAACACUUAACAACAUACAACUGGCAUAAUAGCUUUUCUAUCGGUAGAGGAGCGUUGUAUAUGAGAAGAAGCAAAAAGCGUAAGCAAUUGUGGAUUAUAUACAAGUGAGAAUGCUGGCAUGAGUAGCGAAAAGGGAUGUGAGAAUCAUCCCCGUCGAAAGCCCAAGGAUUCCUGAGCAAGGCUCGUCCUCUCAGGGUAAGUCGGGACCUAAGGCGAGGCCGAAAGGCGUAGUCGAUGGACAACAGGUAGAAAUUCCUGUACUACAAGAUUGUGAUUGAGAGAAGUACUGACGCAGAAGGAAAAGUCGAGCGUGCGAAUGGUUGUGCACGUCCAAAUAACAAGCCAGAAUAUACAGGCAAAUCCGUAUAUUCGUUAACGUAAGUUAUGAUGGGGAGCAGAAAGAUGCGAAGCGACAGAUUCAAACUGCCAAGAAAAGGUGCUAUCGAAUAAUCUUGUACCCGUACCGCAAACCGACACAGGUAGGCAAGAAGAGAAUUCUAAGACGCGCGGAAGAACCUUUGUUAAGGAACUCGGCAAAAUAAUCCCGUAAGUUAGCGAGAAGGGAUGCCUAAGAAAUUAGGUCGCAGAGAAUAGGCCCAAGCGACUGUUUACCAAAAACACAAGUAUCUGCUAAAUCGAAAGAUGAAGUAUAGGUGCUGACACCUGCCCGGUGCUGGAAGGUCAAGGGGACUUGUUAGAGCAAUCGAAGCAACGAACUUAAGCCCCAGUAAACGGCGGCCGUAACUAUAACGGUCCUAAGGUAGCGAAAUUCCUUGUCGGGUAAGUUCCGACCCGCACGAAAGGUGUAACGA
rnacentral:rRNA from 1 species